CUCAUAAAUAUCUAAUGUGAAACACCUAAUCUUCAUAUUGGAUUUCAUAAAUAUGUAACAUGGGAUACCCAAUCUUCAGACUAGACCUCACAGAUAUCCUAUAAGAUAUGAUUGAUCUAUAGGUUAAGCUUUAUAAUUAUCCAUUCGAGAAGGCUUAAGUUCUGACUUAAACUCUAAGGUGAUGUGCUCUAGAAAAGGGAAGAGAUAAAGCAUCUCAAGAUAGAACUUCUAAUGCAUGGGGGACUCAAUCUACCCAUAAUGAUAUCAGAUAGAGGUAUUUCUUAAACCUUAAUUACAUUCAAUUUAUUAAGAUCGAUCUGUCCUUAAUUAACUAAUCUAGUUCUUAAAGUCAUUAUUUCUUAUAUUAUGAGGUUUACUUAUUAUAUUAAGCCAUAUCAGCUUCAUGAUUGAUCCAAUCAAGAUCAAAUGGUGUUUAUUAUAUAAUUAUCUAAGUCCUAUAUAGGAUCAGUAAAUUCAUAUCAGAUUAUGAGAGGUCAGCAAGAUUUAUAUAUAAAAAAA
rnacentral:lncRNA from 1 species